rnacentral:rRNA from 1 species
GGGAAUAUUGCACAAUGGGGGAAACCCUGAUGCAGCGACGCCGCGUGAGUGAAGAAGUAUUUCGGUAUGUAAAGCUCUAUCAGCAGGGAAGAAAUAGCGACCUUUGGGUCGCCAGACGGUACCUGAUUAAGAAGCCCCGGCUAACUACGUGCCAGCAGCCGCGGUAAUACGUAGGGGGCAAGCGUUAUCCGGAUUUACUGGGUGUAAAGGGAGCGUAGACGGCAGCGCAAGUCUGAAGUGAAAUGCCGGGGCUUAACCCCGGAACUGCUUUGGAAACUGUGCAGCUAGAGUGCAGGAGAGGUAAGUGGAAUUCCUAGUGUAGCGGUGAAAUGCGUAGAUAUUAGGAGGAACACCAGUGGCGAAGGCGGCUUACUGGACUGUAACUGACGCUGAGGCUCGAAAGCGUGGGGAGCAAACA